CUGACCGUAAACUAUGCCAUCUAGCGAGUUUCGGGUGGAUUUUUCGCCCUUGAAACGAGCUUCCCGGAAACGAAAGUCUUUCGGUUCCGGGGGAAGUAUGGUUGCAAAGCUGAAACUUAAAGGGAUUGACGGAAGGUCACCACCAGAAAUGGGGCCUGCGGUUUAAUUUGACUCAACACGGGAAAACUCACCCGGUCCGGACACUAUAAGGAUUGACAGACCGAUAGCUCUUUCAUGAUUUGGUGGUUGGUGGUGCAUGGCCGUUCUUAGUUCGUGGAGUGAUUUGUCUGGUUUAUUCCGAUAACGAACGAGAUUAUAGCCUAGUUAAAUAGACUUCUCCCUAUUGCUGGGAGUCGUCUUCUUAUCGGGAUCUGCGUCUUCUAGACGUACGAAACUUAGCAAUAACAGGUCUGUGAUGCCCUUAGAUGUCCGGGGCUACACGCGCGCCACAAUGGACUGCUCAGUCCGUUGUGUCCAUCCUCGGUAGGGGUUGGUAAGCGUGUCAAAUUAGUCCGUAUUUGGGCUCGGAGAUUGCAAUUAUUCUCCUUAAACAAGGAACUUCAAGUAAGUGUAAGUCAUCAGCUUACGCUG
rnacentral:rRNA from 1 species